UACGUAGGUGGCGAGCGUUGUCCGGAUUUACUGGGCGUAAAGGGCGUGCAGGCGGUUUGUUAAGUGCAGGGUGAAAGCUCCCGGCUCAACUGGGAGAGGUCCUUGCAUACUGGCGAACUCGAGGGAGGCAGAGGAAAGUGGAAUUCCCGGUGUAGUGGUGAUAUGCGUAGAUAUCGGGAGGAACACCAGUGGCGAAGGCGGCACUCUGGGCCGGAACUGACGCUGAGGAGCGAAAGCGUGGGGAGCGAACAGG
rnacentral:rRNA from 1 species